rnacentral:rRNA from 1 species
AUUAGAAAGACGGCUCUGCUGUCACUUAUAGAUGACCUUGCGGUGCAUUAGUUAGUUGGUGGGUAAUGGCCUACCAAGACGAUGAUGCAUAGCCGACCUGAGAGGGUGAUCGGCCACAUUGGGACUGAGACACGGCCCAAACUCCUACGGGAGGCAGCAGUAGGGAAUCUUCCGCAAUGGGCGAAAGCCUGACGGAGCAAUGCCGCGUGAGUGAAGAAGGCCUUCGGGUCGUAAAACUCUGUUAUAAGAGAAGAACAAAUUGUAGAGUAACUGCUACAGUCUUGACGGUAUCUUAUCAGAAAGCCACGGCUAACUACGUG